UCAGGAACUAAACAGCCUGAAAUAUAAUGUGCUUUGAAAAGGUGCUGUUAAAUAUCAUUCUAUCUUUUGACUCAGGCAUAGAGUAACUGCUCUUCAGUGCAUCUAUAAUGCAAAGCUAUGAGGUAGUGAAUGGCCAAAGCUUAAGGCUUAAUUAUAUCACAAUAAAUUUAAAUGUAAUUACAUCACAAUUAAAAUUAAGGUCUAAGGUUUCAAAGAUGAUCUAUAUUAUUAAUUUCUGCUGAGGA
rnacentral:lncRNA from 1 species